ACGAACGCUGGCGGCACGCUUAACACAUGCAAGUCGAACGAGAGAAGAGGAGCUUGCUUUUCUGAUCUAGUGGCGGACGGGUGAGUAACACGUGAGCAAUCUGCCUUUCAGAGGGGGAUACCGAUUGGAAACGAUCGUUAAUACCGCAUAACAUAAUUGAACCGCAUGAUUUGAUUAUCAAAGAUUUAUCGCUGAAAGAUGAGCUCGCGUCUGAUUAGCUAGUUGGUAAGGUAACGGCUUACCAAGGCGACGAUCAGUAGCCGGACUGAGAGGUUGAUCGGCCACAUUGGGACUGAGACACGGCCCAGACUCCUACGGGAGGCAGCAGUGGGGAAUAUUGCACAAUGGAGGAAACUCUGAUGCAGCGAUGCCGCGUGAGGGAAGAAGGUUUUAGGAUUGUAAACCUCUGUCUUCAGGGACGAAAAAUGACGGUACCUGAGGAGGAAGCUCCGGCUAACUACGUGCCAGCAGCCGCGGUAAUACGUAGGGAGCGAGCGUUGUCCGGAAUUACUGGGUGUAAAGGGAGCGUAGGCGGGAUCGCAAGUCAGAUGUGAAAACUAUGGGCUUAACCCAUAAACUGCAUUUGAAACUGUGGUUCUUGAGUGAAGUAGAGGUAAGCGGAAUUCCUAGUGUAGCGGUGAAAUGCGUAGAUAUUAGGAGGAACAUCAGUGGCGAAGGCGGCUUACUGGGCUUUAACUGACGCUGAGGCUCGAAAGCGUGGGGAGCAAACAGGAUUAGAUACCCUGGUAGUCCACGCCGUAAACGAUGAUUAUUAGGUGUGGGGGGACUGACCCCUUCCGUGCCGCAGCAAACGCAAUAAGUAAUCCACCUGGGGAGUACGACCGCAAGGUUGAAACUCAAAGGAAUUGACGGGGGCCCGCACAAGCAGUGGAGUAUGUGGAUUAAUUCGAAGCAACGCGAAGAACCUUACCAGGUCUUGACAUCGUAUGCAUAGCUCAGAGAUGAGUGAAAUCUCUUCGGAGACAUAUAGACAGGUGGUGCAUGGUUGUCGUCAGCUCGUGUCGUGAGAUGUUGGGUUAAGUCCCGCAACGAGCGCAACCCUUACUGUUAGUUGCUACGCAAGAGCACUCUAGCAGGACUGCCGUUGACAAAACGGAGGAAGGUGGGGAUGACGUCAAAUCAUCAUGCCCCUUAUGACCUGGGCCUCACACGUACUACAAUGGCUGUCAACAGAGGGAAGCAAAGCCGCGAGGUGGAGCAAACCCCUAAAAGCAGUCUUAGUUCGGAUUGUAGGCUGCAACCCGCCUACAUGAAGUCGGAAUUGCUAGUAAUCGCAGAUCAGCAUGCUGCGGUGAAUACGUUCCCGGGCCUUGUACACACCGCCCGUCACGCCAUGGGAGUCGGUAACACCCGAAGCCUGUAGUCUAACCGCAAGGAGGACGCAGUCGAAGGUGGGAUUGAUGACUGGGGUG
rnacentral:rRNA from 1 species